rnacentral:rRNA from 1 species
CAGUCGCCGCGGGAAUACGUAGGGUGCAAGCGUUGUCCGGAAUUAUUGGGCGUAAAGAGCUCGUAGGCGGUUUGUCGCGUCUGCUGUGAAAUCCCGAGGCUCAACCUCGGGCUUGCAGUGGGUACGGGCAGACUAGAGUGCGGUAGGGGAGAUUGGAAUUCCUGGUGUAGCGGUGGAAUGCGCAGAUAUCAGGAGGAACACCGAUGGCGAAGGCAGAUCUCUGGGCCGUAACUGACGCUGAGGAGCGAAAGCGUGGGGAGCGAACAGGAUUAGAUACCCCGGUAGUCCCUGUCUCUUAUAC